rnacentral:tRNA from 1 species
GCUGGUGUAGCUCAGCAGGUAGAGCGCGGCCCUCGUAACGCCGUUGUCGUCGGUUCGAUUCCGGCCACCAGCUCCA